UCGGCGUGGAAACCGCGAGAGCGAGGUAGAGCAUUACUGCUUGCCGCGCUUGUGUCACGUUUCCCAGUAGUUUCUCUAACGUGCUACUGCAUCGUUGCAUCCUCAUAUCGAUGAGGAGGGUGCGCCACCCAGUAUUCCUGGGCUGGGACCAAAAUGCAAGCCACUGAAACAGUCCUCGAAUUAUGAGGGCAAGGAUUUUCUAUGGUUGUUGGAAUGGCAUCUGAAGCCCCACUGACUGGAAUCCAAUCCUGUCUUCACCGCGUCCUUUGGGAGACGGUUGAUCAGCCUGCUGACAGUGGAAAAAAUGAGUCCAAAGCCUCCUUGUCGAGAGGUUUUCCUUUCUGUGUGAAGGAAGGAAAAUGAAAACAGCACGUUCUCACAGCAGUGGCGGUUGCGGACGUUUCAGGAUGACAGCUGGAGAGGCAAGGUCACCAUGUACUGUUGGGACCCAAAGGAGAUGAACCCCUGAGGAACUAAUGACCCCCAGAACCGUGUGAAGUACCCACAGUUAGUGCCUUGUGCUCUCUGCUUCUGUGAGUCAUCUUCUUGCUUUUAGUUCGUGUGUUCCUGGGAGAUAAAGAUCUUAAGCAUCAUACCUUGCAGUCCAGAGAUUUCAUCUAUUGGAAAAGACAUCUACAGAAAGACUCUCUUCAGCCCUGUUGGAAAGGCCCCUAUCAGGUACUGUUAACUAACCCUUGUGCAGCCAAACUUCAAGGAAUGACUCUUGGAUCCAUAUGUCACAUCUUUUUUUUUUUAAGAUUUAAUUUUUUAAUCUCUCCACCCAGCGUGGGGCUCGAACUCACAACCCCAAGAUCAAGAGUUGCACACUCCUCCGACUGAGCCAGCCAGGUAUUCCCCCCAUGUGUCACCUCUACAGAAAGCACCAAACCCUGAUUAGAUCUGCACACCAACUGAGUACCUGGAAAUAAAGAUUUCUAGGAAUUGAAGCAGACGACAGCUGAAGGAGACAGAUUUCCCAAGAUGACUGGACCAGACCUGUAUACCUUUUUCUUGCUGUUACUUCUUACCUUAUUUCAUCCCUUUCUUUCAUGGUCUAAUCUAUUGCAAAAGGGGAACCUUUCUGACCGUUGGAUCUGACACCAGAAACAGAUUUGUUCUUCCCUAUUUAUUAUUUGUUCCCCUGCAUCCAAGGGAAAUACAAAUGAGCUAAAUCCUCUUUGAAAGGCUUUUUUAAAAAAAAUAUUUUUAUUUAUUUGAGAGAGAGUGUGUGCAAAAGUGAGCGAGCAGGGAGGGGCAGAGGGGGAGGGAAAAAGAAUCUGAAGCAGACUCCACACUGAGUGUGGAGCCCGACUUGGGGCUCGAUCCCAUGACAGCAAGAUCAUGACCUGAGCCAAAACCAAGAGUCUGACACUCAACUGACUGAGCCACACAGGUGCCCCUGCAAGGCUUUUAGAAAAGACCCCUUUAGCCUUGCAGAAGUUCUGCUCAUCUUAUUCUGUAUGGUCACUUUUUAAAAGAUUGUAUUUUUAAGUAAUCUCUACACCCAAUAUGGGGUUCGAACUUACAAUGCUGAGAUCAGGAGUUGCAAGCUCUACUGACUGAGCCAGCCAGGUACCUCCUCUGUAUAAUUAUUUUUUUUAAGUAGGCUCCAUGCCUAGCAUGGAGCCCAAGACGGGGCUUGAACUCAUGACCCUGAGAUCAAGACCUGAGCUGAGAGCAAGAGUCGGACGCUUAACUGACUGAGCCACCCAGGUGCCCCUUUAUAAUCAUUUUUAAGCUUUAUACCUGUUGCCUCUCAAACCUUCAUAGAAACAACGUGCCUGAUAGGGUGAUGCUAGCUCAGCACCUCGAGAUGAUCUUCAACAUUUAUCUCAGAUGGGAAAUGCCUGACCGUUCUCCCUCCUACCAUUCCCUGUUACUCAAAUGUGACCUCAGCGGUUUCCAGUCUACGCACUUUCCUCUGAUGUGGGACAUGACAACCAGGAAAGGUCCUUUCUGACACCAAGGGCACGAAACCACUAAAUAUGAAAACAACAACAACAACAACAACCCAACACAACCCUGACUUUUGAUUAGCAAUUCUUUUGAAAAAAGACUUUGAUCGAAAGGGGGAGAUGUGAAAAUAAAGGGAACCUCAUUUAAAAUGGGGUCAGGAAGCCCUGAAGGGGGAGCUCUCGUGCAUUACCACCUGCUGUAAGAAGCAUAUCUCACAAUUCCCAGUAGGAAGCAGCUUGCUUUCCCCACCCCAGCCUGAGGAAGGAAGAAUUUCUCCUUGCCCAGCAACAGCCCAGCCAGUGAGAACUCAAUGAAACAGCCCCUCCCAGCUUCCUCUUCUCCCCAGUGAAAGCAAGCCCCUCUGUUCUCUGGGUUUACCUGUGGUUUGCCAUAGUCUACUUGUCCUGAAUUGCAAUUCCUCUGCUCUUCCUGAAUAAAAUCAUUUUGCUGGUAAAAUAACUGGCUCUUUUGUUUUUUAAGGUCAACAGAAGCAGAAACCACCUGAGGUUUCUGGGAACAGACUGACAGGGUCUGAAAAAUGAGGUUUGCUGGGAAGGGAGGUGGUGU